UAGAGAGGUCAAAGGUCAACUGCAACACACAUUUACAAAAUCUAAGAAGUAUGGUGUCAGUCAACAGCACUAGUUUUCAAAAUGAAAACCUGACAA